rnacentral:rRNA from 1 species
GACGUAGGAUGCAAGCGUUGUCCGGAUUUAUUGGGCGUAAAGAGUUCGUAGGUGGUUCGUUAAGUCUGAUGUUAAAGACUGGGGCUCAACCCUGGAAGUGCAUUGGAUACUGGCGGACUUGAGUGUGGUAGAGGCAAUCGGAAUUCCAGGUGUAGCGGUGAAAUGCGUAGAUAUCUGGAAGAACACCGGUGGCGCAAGCGGAUUGCUGGGCCAUAACUGACGCUGAGGUGCGAAAGCGUGGGGAGCAAACAGG